AGAGCAGUGAAGAAAGAACUUUUAAAACAGCUUCUUGUGUCAGUAUUUUCCAGUUGGACUGUAUUUACUGUAUGUAUGUGAUUGGACACAAACUGACUCCUGGAUAUGGCAGCUCUCUGGGGUCUCACCGUCCUGCUGCUCUUUGCUCCGUUCAUCGGUUUGGCUGAAUUUUGUUAUGACUUAGAUCCAAGUGAAAUAAAACAGACUGUUUCCACUGGACUUCCUGCAACGAUCGAACCAACGUUCCCUUCAGAAUGCAGAAGUCUCUCUGUUGAUUACACCUGUUCAGAAAAUGGAAAAGUCAAUGACUCCAAGAAACUGUCUGAGCUGGAGCCUUUCACAGACUACAUCUGUACUGGUCUGAUUAAAGACAACAACGUCCCCUUAGAUAAGAGAACUACACCGAUCCACGUCAGGAUCGACUGUAGUUUCAGAAUAACCAUCACAAACAGAGAGACAACCAACACUUCCAUUGAGCUGACCUGGACAACAACCAGUGACAACUGCCAAGACGACCUUCCUAGACUUCAGAACCUUUCACUGUCUUAUGACUGCAGCUGUGAGACGAGUGAAAGUAAAAUUACAGGCAAAUUGAUUCGACGUCCUGAUGGAGGAAAAUGUGACUUUACUGGACUCUUACCGUACACUGAACACACCUGUGACAUAGUUCCCACCUACAAAAAGGACAACAAAGAUGACCAACGGCUAAGAGUUCCCCUGAAAACUGAUG